UACGAAGGGAGCUAGCGUUGUUCGGAAUCACUGGGCGUAAAGCGCGCGCAGGCGGCUCGUCAAGCCUGACGUGAAAGCCCCCGGCUCAACCGGGGAGGGUCGUCGGGGACUGGCGGGCUUGAGGUCGGCAGGGGUUGGUGGAAUUCCCGGUGUAGUGGUGAAAUGCGUAGAGAUCGGGAGGAACACCCGUGGCGAAGGCGGCCAACUGGGCCGGACCUGACGCUGAGGCGCGAAGGCGUGGGGAGCGAACGGG
rnacentral:rRNA from 1 species